rnacentral:rRNA from 1 species
CCUACGGGCGGCAGCAGUGGGGAAUAUUGCACAAUGGGGGAAACCCUGAUGCAGCGACGCCGCGUGAGUGAAGAAGGAUUUCGGUAUGUAAAGCUCUAUCAGCAGGGAAGAAAAUGACGGUACCUGACUAAUAAGCCCCGGCUAACUACGUGCCAGCAGCCGCGGUAAUACGUAGGGGGCAAGCGUUAUCCGGAUUUACUGGGUGUAAAGGGAGCGUAGACGGCGCGGCAAGUCUGAAGUGAAAGGCAGGGGCUUAACCCCUGAACUGCUUUGGAAACUGCCAUGCUAGAGUGCUGGAGAGGGAAGUGGAAUUCCUAGUGUAGCGGUGAAAUGCGUAGAUAUUAGGAGGAACACCAGUGGCGAAGGCGACCUGCUAGAACACAACUGACGCUGAUGCGCGAAAGCGUGGGGAGCAAACAGGAUUAGAUACCCCAGUAGUC